AUGGCCGUAUCCCGUUGAAAUAUCGGUUCUCGCACGAUCACCGAAGUUAAGCAACAUCGAGCCUGAUCAAUACCUAGAUGGGUGACCGCUUGGGAAUAGUAGGUGGUGUAA